GAUGAACGCUGGCGGCAUGCCUAACACAUGCAAGUCGAUCGGUAAGGCUCUUCGGAGUACACGAGAGGCGGACGGCUGAGUAACGCGUAGGAACACACCCUGCAGUGAGGGAUAAGACACCGAAAGGUGUUCUAAUACCGCAUACGGUCUUCGGAUUAAAGCAUUUAUGCGCUGAAGGAGUGGCCUGCGUCAUAUUAGAUAGUUGGUGAGGUAAUGGCUCAUCAAGUCGAUGAUGUGUAGCUGGUCUGAGAGGAUGAUCAGCCAGACUGGAACUGAGACACGGUCCAGACUCCUACGGGAGGCAGCAGUGAGGAAUAUUUCACAAUGAGCGAAAGCUUGAUGGAGCAAUGCCGCGUGCAGGAUGAAGGCCCUCGGGUUGUAAACUGCUUUUAUAAGAGAAGAUUAUGACGGUAACUUAUGAAUAAGGGACGGCUAACUACGUG
rnacentral:rRNA from 1 species